CCAGGCAACACGUUCCUUGGCGCACAAAGUAACAAGUAGACAGCUGUUGCAAGUUGCAACUAACACUUGAAGGCGUUGCAACAAUUCAGACAAUGUAGCUUAAUAAUACAUUCAGAGUUGAAGAGUGACUGCAUUUAACCACUUGAAAAGUUUUACUGAUCAUUUUGUACAGUUUGAGUUACAUUGCAAAUUGAUAGGCUACCAUCUGCAGGAUUCCCAUACCACUCAUAUGAAUCUGAAAGAAGCGAUCCGACAGCUGGUUACUAGCUGUCUUGGAUCAGGAGCGCCGAAGAGAGACGAGCUGGAGCUGAAACUGAUGGCUCCUCUCCGGCUGAGGACAUGCUUAGGAACCGGCCUGUCUAGAGGCAAAACCGGCAGCUGAUAACAUACUUCCAUUGAACAAAGUCAGAGCUUGAUCCAGAU